AAAAACAUCAGACAGCUGAGAAAAAGUGCCAUGUUGGAAGAAGAAAACAAAAUUUUAGCCAGCAAAGUUGCAAGCCUUGAGGAAAUCACUCUUGGAAAAGAAAUGUAGAGAAAGCCCAGGAUGGCCUACCCAAGAGGAAGAAGACAUUUCUGAUGAGAAACAGCCAGCUGGAAAAAGACCAAGGAAAACAUAGUGAAUUAUGAUAUCUCAAUUUCAAAGACACCUGUACUCCUUUUUUUGGGACUCCCCCUGCUUCCUCCCAAGAAGAUCAGCAGACAUGGAGUUCAAAUUCUAACUAUAGGCAAAAUCUCCAUUUUCAAUCCAAUCAGAAA